UCCUGCCCUAAAAUAGUUCAGGGACCAGUGGUUAUAAAACACUAUUUGUCUUUAGUAAAUGUAAUGUAUUCCAUAGCCUUGACCAACGCCCCAAGGAGCUCUGAAGAUAAACACGCAGUCAAUCCAUACUGGCUAAGAUGGUGCUAUAAAAUUGGUAGCUGCCUAAUGUAUGUGUCUAGCUCAGACUUGGAGAAGGAAAUGGCAACAUUUUUUAUUUCAUUCUUAAUAUACAGUUAGGUCUCAGGUUUUGCAUCUGUGGAAUCAACCAACCAGAGAUUGAAAAUGUGCAGAAAGAAAUAAAUUCCAGAAAGUUCCAAAAGUGAAACUUGAAUUUGCCUCAUGCCAGCAACUAUUUACAUAACAUUUACAUUGUAUUUACAACUAUUUACAUAGUAUUUACAUUGUAUUAGGUAUUAUAAGCAAUCUAGAGAUAAUUUAAAGUACACAAGUAUCCAGGAGGAUGUGUGUAGGUUAUAUGCAAAUACUACUCUAUUUUAUAUAGGGACUUCAGCAUCCUUAAGUUUUGGCAUCUACAGGGCAGGGGGUAUCCUGGAGCCAGUCCUAGAUCCAGCAGAUAUGGAGGACAACUGUAUAUACCCACAGAUAUGUGCAUAACUUUGCAUAAAUGCAAACACAUGAUUUCUUGUGAAUGUGGGCAUGUGCUAUAAGGCUCAAAUUAAAGUCCGGUAUUAUGUGUUGCCUUGACAUCAAAAGGCCUAACCAAGAGUUCCUCACCUAAUUCCAGUCCCACUCAUGAAGUCUCUUAGCCAAACAACCCACCCUCCUUAUCACAGGGGUCCAGGCACUGUCCUGCUUCUCCCUAGGAUACUCAGCCCUUGUUAGCCUGAGAAAGCAUUCAAAUAAGCCAAUGACCUUCUCCCAUGGGAACUAAGGACACUGCAUCCUGUUGACACUAGACAGCCUGCCUCCCACAGCCGCUGGAUAUAUUGUCUCUGUUCUUUGGGCCACCCCUUGUGAACCUGCAUGACCUGCAUUGCCGCCCACCCCAGGCUGUGAGUAUAUGUGAAUAGUAAACUUCUAUUAACCCAUCUGUCCGGUGCUGGGUAUUGUGUGUUUGGCCAUCCCCAUAAAUACGGGUGGGCAUCCCUCAUCAAUGGGGUGAAUAGGAGGUGCUUGAAAUAGUGCAGCCCUUUUGAAAACUCUGAAGACAGCCUGGCCACAGCACAGAUAUUAUUGAUGUGAUGUCUUAGAAAAAGAAGUUUUUCUGUUAUCCUCUUGGUUUGACUGCUUUUACUCCUCCAAAGUUAUACUU
rnacentral:lncRNA from 1 species